GCAUGGCCCUUGAUGAUUCAAUUCACGCAUAGUUCAUCUGCAGCGGGCUUACUCCCCGCGUUGAGGAAACAUCAAUAUCGAAUGUCUUUCGCUCCUAUCUGAGGCCCUUU
rnacentral:snoRNA from 1 species